UGAUCACGAAGUUCGUAACUUAUUUUGAUCGUCUUGUCACUCGUUGUUAUGCCAUUUGGCAAAUUAAAUCUGAGAGUAUGUCGCAUCAUGAGCACCUUUUGCCUAAGAGAGACAUUAAACAUGAUAUAGUGCAACAUAAUUAAGAUGUAUUACUGCACUUAAUUACUAUACAAUAACAGUGGAGCUUUUUAAGACAUCCAAAGUGCGAUAACCCUUAAGAGAAGGGUAUCGACGCUAAUCCCAGGUCUGCAGUAACUCUUAGGAUUAGCUAUAUAGAGUUAUACAUGUUGUCCACAAUACAUAUACAAAAUACGUAUUUCAUACUUAAUUGAACCUAGCUAAUGGGAGAGGAGAACGCCGUGGCAGUGGUGGCGUUGCCGCCAAGAAGUUCCUGCCGUGAAAAUCCACCAUUAGCAUGCCACCGUACGCUUUAGCCGCCUCAAAGCAGUCCAUGGGCUUCUGGGGAGGUGCUUGAGGAAUCAGGGGUUGCCUAGCCUUCUUCUUGGCGAUGCCCUCUUCUAACAUGGCGAAGGCUUCCUCUGCAAUUUUGGCAAGUUCGCGUGAAUGAGCCAUGAUAAGUGCUUGCUGCUCUGAUACCUCGUGCUAUCUAUGAGGCUGUGUUCUUUGUGCUGCUUCUGUGUGGUGAAGAACGAAACCCCCCUGGCCCUUUUUAUACCUCCGACUUCUCUGGAAAUAAGGCAAUAAUUCAAAAAGGAAAAGGCGAGGGUGAUGAAGAACCUGAAGAGAUAAGAGAUAAUAUGCAUUGGUUUUACCUUUCGGUGGCAAGCCACGUUUCGCAGAACAAAUUCGUUGAUAUCUAUCCGGUCUUCUUUAUGUGUUGAAGGGAACAAGACAUAGUCCUUCUGAUCUCAAGGGGUUACGUGCACGAGUGACGAAAGACAUGGGUAACGCGACCAUAUCAUCUUGUUUGUGGAGGGAAUAUAGGGGCAAGACUAACAAUUAUCCAUUGUAUGGACAGUCCAGACCUAGCAAUUUGUGGGUUGGGGUUUUUUUUUUUUUUUGGGGGGGGGGGGGGGGGGGGGGGGACCUCCUUUGGGCAUCUAAUUCUCUUAGGCAAUUUUCAAAUGGGAAAAGAUUCAUGCCCCCUCCAACAUGAGACGUCUCUUCUUUCUAGUACCGAGAAAAUGAGUAGUAAUGAGAACGAUUUCUAAAUACCAAACGCAUGGAUCAUAUUGAGUAUCAAGUAUUCAUUGCGACUUACGUCGAUUCAUGAUGAUGACUUGUGGAUUAGUCAUGGGUCGAAAGAAGCUUCUGCUCUCCAAUGUAAUCACUAAAUAACCUAACUGAUCAUAGUUUCACCUCUUGGAUUGCUUAUAUCAAACCACAAAGCUAUAUUAGAGUUGUGGAUAUUUUCUUAUGCUCAUCAUGGCUAUUCAUGCUCACUCAUCUAAUUCUCAUCGGGAUAAUUAACAUGUCAAGGCAGUAUUAUUCUCCCACUCAUCAGUGAGAUGAUGCUAUAGCAUAUGCUCUCUUUUUUCAUGACAAACUAUAUCUCUAUAUAGACNNNNNNNNNNNNNNNNNNNNNNNNNNNNNNNNNNNNNNNNNNNNNNNNNNNNNNNNNNNNNNNNNNNNNNNNNNNNNNNNNNNNNNNNNNNNNNNNNNNNGGGGGGGGGGGAGCGUGGUUUUUGGGAUGAGUCCAGGUUACGGUCUAAAACCUGGCCCGUGUCAUAAAUCGAAUCAUCCAAACCAUAAUAGAUCCUUUUUUAAAUUGGGUUGACCUUUUCUUUCUACCUCGUUCUUUUCUUCCAAAAACGAGCCAUUUAUUUAGGGUUUAAAUAUUUCACGUAAUAAAUAAAUUUACCGAAUCAGUAAGUAGACAAUUUACUUAUGAUAGCUUCUAAACAACUUAUUGCAAAUUAAUGAUAGCUUCUAAAUAAUUGCAGAACUAAUUUGCUGGAUGCAUAAUAUAACGAAUAACUAUAAAUUUACUGUUACAAUCCACGCAAUCAGAAAAGAUAAAAAUUUUAAACAAGACAGUCUAAAACCAUAUAUCAAUAAGAAGUGUCAUUGAAAAGUAAUAUUGUACCAAGUUUUCUAUCAUUUGCCUAGUUCUAAAAUAAUAUGACUUAUCUAGUCAAUUAGUUUAUUUAAAUACCAUCUGAAGUAGUUCUCUAAGCAAGUAGGCCCAUUUUGAGCACCCAACAAAAAUCAUUCAAAUCACUUAGCUAGCAAAUUUAAUGAAAGAAACUGCUGGGGCUCGCUCCAAUGGCCACUCUUCCAACAUAGAAAGGGGAGGUGGAAGGUUCGAAUCCCUAAUUUCUCGGGGGUUGGAGUGGGGAUGAUUUAAUUUCAAGUGUGGGUUUUGACUCCCAUACCAUGCAAUGAGGCAUGACAAAAAUUUGAAAAUGAGAGUAGAAAUAGGAGUAAGAGUAGAGUAAAAUCGACAAAAAAAAAAAAUUAAUAAAAGAGUUUUAGCAUAUCUAUUAUUAUUUAAAUUAGUCUCCGGUCAUUCAUCUAAUAUAGUGAAUUGUAUAAAUCACAUUUUUUUUGGGUUAUCAUGCAAUUAUGAUUAACAAGACUGAAAAUUGUAUAAGUUUGACCGUUCCAAAUUUCCAACUCCAAUUCAAGGAUAAUGGGAAAAUAUAUCGUUCAAGUGUUGGUCAUGUCAGGUUGGCUCGACCUAAUUCGAAAGUUUCUUCUCCUGGUAGAGUGGACUCGGUUGUUUUUGCGGAUUGGAAAGAAAAAAUCCAUACCUAUUCUUCCGAGCGAGAUUAGACAGGUUAUCGGUUUUGGGCUCAUUUUUGCCGGAUUUAAUGGACACCAUGCAACAAGAACAAUGGAAAAAGGUGAAAAAAGCAAGCGGAGAAGAAUAAAGAAAGUACAGGCAUCUCAAUUCAGAGCUAGCUUUAAGCUAUCCAAUCGCAUAAUAUUUGGUAUGCGAAAUGAUAGCUCAAUUAAAAAGGAAUCUCAUUUCAGGAACGUGAUUACUUGAAAUGGAAAUUUGUUUGAGCUUCCUUUCUCAUGAAACCAAAAGAGACCUAAAGUGAAUGACAACACUCCUCCUUUUAUUAGCUGAUUUGAAAGAAAAGAAUGAUAUGACGUUUCACGUCAUAAGUUUUGCCGGAUCAGCGUUCAGCUGGCAAAUUUCAUCUAUACCAAAUGAAUGACAUGGUACCCGAUUAAUUAAAUAACCACAUUAGGUUUAUUUAAAAAAAUUAAAUAUUUGGUAAACAAUUAAUACGCCAAAUUCAACAUCGAGCAAAUGUACAUGUACUUUUGUUAUUAUCACCCCAAUUGAAGGAAGACACAAUCAAAACAAGUUUCUACGAGAUAUUUAGAACUUAGAGGCAUGGUGGCUGUGUUAAAUUAUUGAAGUUUUCUUACAGAGAAUGGAAGAUUUUGGAAGCAUGUACGUACUUUAGUAUCUGGAUAAUCACUAAUACAAUGAUCCAAAUCCAUACAUAUUAAUGAGGCUGUUGUACUUUAGCUAGUACGUCCAUGAUGGGGUGCGAUUGGACCGCACCAAUUGGACUUGAUAUGCUACGAUGGAAAGGCACAAAUGGAGGGGUACGAAGGGAGACGUAUAUAAGCCUCCCGAACACAACCGUUGGAGUUGGUUGGCCAUUCAUUUGCACCAAAUAUCCUCUCAAUUUCCAUCGAAGAAGAUCAAGGCGUUCCAUUUCAUCUUUGCAAGAACAAUUCGCAUUUACACCGUGGAAAUCGGGUGUUUUCCUCGUGAUUGCAUCCAGACUAACGUGAGGUAGUGUUGUUCAUGAUUUCGUCGGCAAUUCAACGUUCGUUCCGGGGCUAUUUGCUGUUUGCGCAUCGGAAUCAGGUAAGUCGUCUUCCGCCGACUCGAAUUCCAACAUUGGUAUCAGAGCCCGAUCGUGAUUUCUGCCCUGUUUGUCAUCGAGUUUUCUCAUUUACCAUUUGAUAUUGAGAUCAAGAGAUAGUUUUCUACACUGCUUGGACCUCUGAUGGUCGGAAUUGCCCUAUGAAAAACUCGAAAUUGAACCGGAGCGAAGAACGAGUUAGGGGUCGUGUGCACCCGUGAGGUUUUGGCCCAUUUUCGAAAUGAUUUUUUGGUCAAAAUUAAUUUUUGAAUAUAUAGGGUGAAAGAACUCAUCGAGAUGAGUCCGGCGGUGGGUUGAGCGCCGCCAGGAGACGCCGGACGCGCCCACCUGUGCGGCCAGAAGCCGCUGCGCGUGGGCACCACGCGCCUAAAGCGUUGGCACAGUGAGCGCGUGUGCCACACGUGCCAGUCGACGAACCAGCACGUGCGCGACGCCCGCCCGCCGGCGAACCGGCGCAUGGUGACGUCACCCAACGGUCGGUAACCGCGGGGAUGACGUCAUCGAUGACGUCAGCGCCGGCGACAGUUGGCCGGCCGGCGACCCGACCCGACCCGUGAUUCGACCCGUUGACCCGACCCGACCGUUGACCGGUCAACCGGUCCGGUGGUCAAACCGGUCGGACCGGCCAAGAGCCGUUCGGCUCGCUGGCGCGUGCGCCACACGCGCCGCGCACUCAGGCGACGCGUGGGGGUGCCAUGCAAGCUCCGAUUGGAGCGUGGUUAGUGGCGUUUGGUUCGUAUGAGUGUUCUCUACACAGUGGUAUAAUUAUUUUAUACUUUUGAAUUUUAUAAAUGUAUGAAAAUGCUAAGGGAACCCUAUGUACGCGUAUUUUUUGGGGUUUAAUGCAGCUUAUUCAUUUGUAGCUUGUAUUUUCUUGUGAUUAGAGAAAUACAGUAGCUAGCUUAUGUGCAAAUGAUAUUAUAUAUAUGCUGUGUAGAGCUUGGUUCAAUGAUAUGAUGUAUAUAUUUUAAUAUACUUGCAAUUUUCUAGUCACUAGAAAAUUAGAACAAUGGUAGGAAAUCCAUUAUAUGUUGAAUUGCAAUCAUAGUUGAAGCAUGAUUGUUGUUUAUACGUUGGUUAUUAUCAUGCUAUAUUUUUGUGUUAAGGAAAAAUGUAGAAAUUACAUAAAGUCAUGUAAUUAUUUUUUUUCCUAGUGGGAGUUCGUAGGUUAGUAGAAUUUGAAAUAGUUCUCACCUAGAACUUAACAUUUGCGCAAAUUAAACUAAUUAAUGAUAAUAGAACAACUGUGCAUAGAAGUUGAUUGGGAACAUAGUGAACUUUUGAUUUUGUGUCUUUUGUUGAAUUAUCAUUAAUUUAGUUUGUCUUUGCUGCAAAUUAAAUGUGUGUUACUAUGUAUAGUGUGCUAGUAUUAAUUCUGCGUUUAUUAUGUCAAUGUGUUAUAGCAAUUGAUUAUGGCAUCGGCAUCCAAGACCAUUGUGGCUGACCUCAAUAAGGGUGAGAAGCUGAACGGUGACAAUUAUGAUAUUUGGCAUCGAAAGGUUCAGUACAUCCUUGAGGAGUAAGAGGUUUUGGAAACCCUCAACCAUACCAUGGAUGAACUUGAGCAUGGAACUUCAGCUCAACACAGGAGAGAUCCGGAAACUUAUCAAGCUUGGAAAAAGAAAAAUAGCAUUGCUCGCAUCACGUUGCUGAGCUGUAUGCAAGAUAAUCUCAUGUGUGAGUUUGAGAGUUAUGACAAAGCUCAAGCUAUGUGGGUUGCCUUGAAGGAUAAGUUUAGGGGUACAUCUGCCACUAAGCUGAGAAGACUCACCAUUAAGUUUGACACAUUCCGAAAGCGCCCAAGUGUAACGAUGAGGCAGCAUCUUCGAGAGAUGUCAAACAUGAUCCGUGAGCUGAAGUCGGCAGGUCACUCCCUUACUAAUGAACAGCAAGUUCAGGCUGUUAUAAGGUCUUCCUGAUAAUUGGGAGCAUAUGAAGAUCAAUAUGACGCAUAAUGAGAACAUCAUCACUUUUGAUGAUAUUGCGCAUCAUUUGGAAUUAGAGGAUGAGCGCCUAGAGGCUACGAGAUCCUCUACCCAUGCUUAUGUUGCUGAAUCGAGUUCGCGCAAGGCAUCGGGCUUCAAGCGCAAGAGGAAUCUUCAGUUCAACAACAAAAGGAAGAUGACUGAUCAGGGACCCAAGAGGGCUAAGACCUUCCUAUGCAAGAAGCGUGGUGGGAAGAAGGACAAGGCCAAGAUGGAGUGCCACAAUUGUGGCAAGCUGGGUCACUUUGCUCGUGAAUGCACUGAGCUGAAAAAGGUACCCUAUUACUCCAUUACUUCGAGUAAUGCUUUCAUUUCUAGUACUGUAAUGCUUGCUGAAUCUCAUCCUAUAUGGACUGUAAACUCAGGAGCAGCUAGAGACCGAGAAGCAUUUGUGGAGUAUCGUUGGAUACCGCCUGGAAGAAGAUGGAUAUAUGUUGGGAAUAACUCAAGAGUUGAAGUGAAGGGUAUCGGUACAUGUAAAUUAAUCUUACGUGAUGAUCGAAGCCUAUUCUUGCAUGAUAUCCUUUAUGCUCUAAAUAUUCGACGAAACUUGGUCUCUAUAGUUGUUCUUCUUAGCUUAGGUUAUGUAUUGAAUUUCCAUGGUGGUUGUGUUGACAUUUUGUAUGGAACAGUUUAUUAUGGUUCAGGUCAUGUAUCGAAUGAUUUUAUGGUGUUAGACAUUGACUAUGAUCAGUACAAUAUUAAUGUUGAUGAUUGUUUUUCUUUAAUUGCGUCUUCUAACAAUGUUGAGAUUGAUGCAAGUAUUUGGCAUGCUAGAUUAGGUCACAUUGGAUUGCAAAGAAUGCAAAGAUUAGCUAGAGAAGGCCUUUUAGGGUCACUCACUAAUGUUAGUCUAUCCGUAUGUGAACAUUGUCUGGUGGGAAAAACAACUAGAAAAUCAUUCGGUAAAGGGACCAGAGCUGAAUUUCCAUUGCAUCUCAUACAUUCUGACAUUUGUGGUCCUUUGAAUGUGAGGGCGAGGUAUGGAGCCUCAUAUUUCAUUAUUUUCAUAGAUGACUUCACACGUUUCGGUUAUAUCUUUCUGAUCCCACAUAAGUCAAAAGCAUUGGAUUGUUUUAGACGAUAUAUAGCGAUGGUAGAGAAUCAAUUGAAUAAAACAAUAAAGGCAUUGAGAACCAAUCGUGGACGUGAGUAUCUAUCAGAGCAAUUCAAUGCUCUUUGUGAUGAAAAGAGAAUUGUAAGACAAUUAACUAUUCCUAGUACUCCACAACAAAAUAUGGUAGCUGAGAGAAGGAAUAGAACCCUAUUGGAAAUGGUUAGGUCUAUGAUGGCGUAAGCAAAUUUACCUAUCUCCUAUUGGGGAGAUGCGUUAUUGACUGCUACCUAUAUACUUAACCAUGUGCCCUUAAAAUCGGUUACUUCCACCCCUUAUGAAUUAUGGACUGGUAGGAAACUAGACUUGAGUAGUCUACGUCAAUGGGGAUGUGCAGCUUAUGUUCAUGAUUCUUCCCAUAAACAUGGAAAAUUAGGUCAUAGAGGGAAGAAAUGUAUAUUUAUAAGAUAUUUCGAACACUCUGAAGGAUACGUGUCCAUAGGUGAACAAGCUGAUGGAAGUGUGACCGAAAUGGAGUCACGAAAUGUCAUGUUCUUGGAGAACGAUUUUCCUAAUAGAGGUGAGAUUGAUAAGGACUUCUAGUUAUAUGAGAUGGAAGAUCCUAAUAACACACCCACUGAUGUUGUAGAGGGAAAUUGAGAUUUACCUCAACAUACAAGACUUAGUGGGAGUGUUGCAUCGCCUGAUGAAUUGAAUUCAAGAGAAAUUCAAUUGCGUAAAAGUAAUCGUAAAAGUAUUCCCCAUUAUCGUUUUGAGAUUGAAGGGGAAGCAUUUAUGAUUGCUCAAAAGGACGAUGCCAAGCCUAAGACUGUUCAAGAGGCUCUCUCAUCCUCUAACAAGGAAGAAUUGAGAAAAGUUUUGGAAGAUGAGAUGGAGUCAAUGAGGGCAAACCAUGUCUGGGACUUGGUUAAUCUACCACCCAAUCGUAAGGCCAUUGGAAACAAAUGGGUCUUCAAGAUUAAGCGUAGGGUGGAUGGAUUCAUUGAAAAGUAUAAGGCUUGCCUUGUGGCAAAAGGUUAUACUCAACAAGAGGGUAUAUAUUAUGAGGAAACUUUUUCACCAGUUGUAAGGUUUGCCUCAAUAUGCCUUAUUCUAGCCAUCGUUGCACAUUUAGACCUUGAAUUACAUCAAAUGGAUGUAAAGACGGCAUUUCUCAAUGGAGAAUUAGAUGAGAAAAUCUAUAUGAAACAACCAAUAUGUUUCAUAGCUAAAGGUCAAGAGCAUAAAAUUUGCAAGCUUCAUCGCUCAAUAUAUGGCCUUAAGCAAUCAUCUAGACAAUGGUAUCUUCGUUUUCAUCGAGCAAUAAUAAUUUUUGGUUUCACGAUGAUCGAAUAAGAUCACUGUGUAUAUGUCAAGUGGUUCAAAGAUAAAUUUGUGAUUUUAUCACUUUAUGUGGACGAUAUUCUGUUGGUUGGAAAUGACAAGGUUUUGGUUAUCACCAUAAAAGAAUGGUUGUCCUCCAAUUUUGAGAUGAAGGACAUGGGAGAAGCUGCUUAUAUAUUAGGAGUUAAGAUCGAAAGAGAUCAAUCAAGGAAACUCCUUACUUUAUCACAAGAGUCUUAUAUUAUGAAGAUUCUUGAGCGUUUCAAUAUGCAGCAUUGUAAUCCCAUUGAUACCCCUGUCAUGCAAAGUGAAGGCCUAAGUACUGAAAUGUGUCCUAAGACUCCAGAAGAAAUUAAAAUGAUGAAAACUGUUCCUUAAGCUAGUGCGAUCGGAAGUUUGAUGUAUGCUAUGAUGUGUACUCGACCCGACAUAUGUUAUGCCGUGGGAUUGGUGAGCCGAUAUCAAUCAAAUCCUAGUCAAGCACACUGGAAAGUAGUGAAGAGGAUAUGAGAUACUUGAAGGGCACCAUGGACUAUCGACUUUGUUACCAAGGGAAUGAUUUACGCCUAUUGGGUUAUUCAGAUGCCGAUUGGGGUGGAGACCUGAAUGAGCGUAAAUCGACUUCUGGAUAUGCGUUCUUGCUCAAUGGAGGUGCGAUUUCUUGGAAUAGCAAGAAACAGACAUGCACGGCCUUGUCUACGAUGGAGACAGAAUUUAUUGCAUGUUCUGCCGCAGUGCAAGAAGCAGUAUGGCUAAAACGUUUCUUGGAAAAUUUAGCCAAUGUCACUGAAGUUCCAAGACCGGUGACAGUUUAUUGCGAUAGUCAAGCUGCCAUUGCCUAUGUGAAAGAUCCCAAGUAUUAUGGAAUGACAAAGCACAUUGACAUAAAGAAUAACUUCAUCAGAGAUAUUAUAGCAUAGAAAGAAGUGAUCCUGCAAUACAUUUCAACCAAUAGAAUGGUUGCUGAUCCAUUUACGAAGGCUAUUCCUAGAGACAUAUUCUUGACCCAUAGGAUGUCACUAAGAUUACAUAGAAUGUGAUAUUUGUUAUUGUAGAGGAUCAUUGGUUUAUGUAUUUGUGGACAGAUGUAUUGUACUUGUUUGUUUAUUAGUGAUUUGAUGUUUUAUUAAUAAGUACAAAUCCACUAUGAGACUAGCACAAACACACAUUAUUGAAAAGUAUGUCAACAGGCAAUGAUUGGCUCACUUACACGAGCAAUCGCCUCAAGUGCUGUAGUUAGCACGUUGAGAUAAGACGUUAUGUACAAAUAAAUGCUAAAGAGCAAGUUUGGUAUAUAAAAUAUGUCGCCUUGAUUGGAGUCAAGAUGAGGUCUGUGAUUGGUUUAUAACAAGACCAAACAUGAUAGUCCCACAAUCAUGUAUGCCUGUAAGAUGCCGGAUGCGAGUACUUAAUUGGGUGCUAUAGAAAGCGAGCUGAUAUAGCACUCGGGCUAAACAUGAGUACGUGAGAAGCACGUGACUAUGUUUAGGCUAAGAUUUGUAUGGUGGAUAUAUUUGAUGAUUGACAUACGCUCUUAUAGAAAGAGUAAUCCACUAUAGCAUGUAAUUCGUACUACAUGUGCACUGUACGAUCGACAAGGAAAUGUGAGUAAAAUUAUCCAUAUUUACUCAUCGUGUGAGCUUUUGAGGUAAUUUAUAAUUUACCCCAACUUUGUGCCCUAUGUUACUUCUGACUAUGUUCUCGAAGUGAAAUAUCAAUGUUGCUACUUUAGCAUGUUACGGGCGGUCAUGAAUAGAUAUGGCCUAUGGGACAUGUCUAAGAAAGCAGUUGUUCUGAAAUUGAGAGAGACAUGAGUGCGAAGGAAGACUAUUGUUGUUUUACAUCUAUCGCAUGUAUUUAUUAAUCGACCAAUUAUAUCGCCAUAUGUGGUUGCGGAUGUAAUUAUAAAUAUAUGGUGUUUUGAGAAUAGUCAAGUAUAGCCUUUAAGGGAUAGGUAUACUUGGAUUGAUGUAACAAAAUAUGUCUGGGGUACUGUGAGACAUCGAUUGUUUAUUUCUAUUCGGGGUUGUAGCCAUUAUGUUAUCCCUAACAGGUACAUAAUUUGAGCUCCCAAGUGCAGGUGUACUCACUGGUCGCACGGCUUAUUUGCUAGUAUGAAUUGUUUUGUAAAAUUGAUGAAUGUUAAAUGCCUUAUAUUCUUGAUAGAGAGCUAUCAAGCCCAUCAUGUCCGAGUGGGAGAUGUUGUACUUUAGCUAGUUAGCUAGUACGUCCAUGAUGGGGUGCGAUUGGACCGCACCAAUUGGACUUGAUAUGCUACGAUGGAAAGGCACAAAUGGAGGGGUACGAAGGGAGACGUAUAUAAGCCUCCCGAACACAACCGUUGGAGUUGGUUGGCCAUUCAUUUGCACCAAAUAUCCUCUCCAUUUCCAUCGAAGAAGAUCAAGGCGUUCCAUUUCAUCUUUGCAAGAACAAUCCGCAUUUACGCCGUGGAAAUCGGGUGUUUUCCUCGUGAUUCCAUUCAGACUAACGUGAGGUAGUGUUGUUCGUGAUUUCGUCGGCAAUUCAAUGUUCGUUCCGGGGCUAUUUGCUGUUUGCGCAUCGGAAUCAGGUAAGUCGUCUUCCGCCGACUCGAAUUCCAACAGAGGCAUAUAAUCAAAGUGUAUUGGAAUGCACUUUUGGCGUUAGUGUGUAUGACUGCACUCACCUGCCCAACACGUGCAAUCACAUGACUUUGUUUAGGGAUGGAUCCACGGAACCGGAGAUAUACGUGCAUGGUCUGAUUAGAGUGUGCUCGGUAGCAUGGCCAUUCCUAGAUCAGGUGGAUCCACGCGACUCUCACCCAAUACAAGGGUGCUCACAUGCACCCGAACCAACCAAGAUUUUUUCUACGGGCUGGAUCCAAAGGCCCAAAGUGGCCGAGUGAAUUUCUAUCUGGGGCCGACCAAAAAAAUUCCCUCUGCGGAUCCAGUUCUCUUUUAGAAAGCUCAAGGAUAGCUGGAGGAAUAAGGGAUAAUGCGCGUGCAGAUUCUCUUGCUCUGCCUUUUCUUGAUGGGCUCCACGAAGCGCACUUUGUGUUUUUGGCUUGGGAAAUAUCUCAAAUGUGGAUAUGGUAGAUCAUGCGGGAUAGGGAUGAUGUCGCAAUCGAAGUUCAGUGUUCCGGUGUUUUAAGACUUUCUUAACCAAACCAAUAUCUGACCUUUUAUUCCGCAAAAUCAUGUCCAAAAUGGAUCGGGCAGCUACAGUUUUCAACAUGAAAUCUUUAGCUCCUCGCCUCAGUCAUUCCAUGUCCAAUGCUGGACAAAGAAAUUAUCUAUCAUUGAAGAAUAGUUGAGCUUGUGGGAGACAUUUUCUGCAAAAUCAAAAUUCAAAUUGACUCAAAAUCCCCCCUCCUUAGAGAACUUUUUGAGUAACUCAGAUCGAUUGAAUUGCCAUUGAUUUUAUUUUAUUUUUUUGCUACGGCCAGUUAUGUUUGGACAGCUAAUGCUAACAGUUCGGUGGUACCAGAAAGUUGUCCUUCACUGGAUGCCUGUGAUUGGAGCCUCUUUCCUUUUUGAGUUUCGAAAUAAUGUUCUCCUUGGAUCCACUUUUCCCAUGAAUUUGUAAAAAACUUUAGAUGAAUGACUCGUUUGAUCCAACAAACGCAUUGUUUUAUGAAAGAUUCCAAAUAGCUUGGUUUUUACGUUUUUUAAAUAAUUUGCGAUUCUUCGUUCUCGAUGUAUUCCUUAUAAUUUUAGGAUUUGAGUAUGUUGUCUUCUAGAAAAACAUCACAUAACUUUUUGCUAACUCAAGUUGUGAGCCAAAAAAAGAGAUCUCUUUUAAAUAAUGCGGUGUGUACUACACGUGCCAUAUCCGUCUUGGCAAUCUUGCUUCGAGUGUGAAAUAUGAUUGGAUAAUUUCUCAUUCUCCACAAAUUCACAAGGUUUGAACUUUUGAAAGAAUUGUUGAUGAGAUAAUUAAAUCAAUGUCCCUCCUUUGGAUCUGGCACAUCAGGGGAGCUUCGCGCACUAGGCAGCCCCCACCUAUUAUUUGAAACAAUGAUGAUUUUGAAAUGCUCAACAAGUGAGACAAAAUUCAACUAUUUAUAUAUGAGAUUGCAUAUAGAUUUAGAUCAAGGAACUAUGGGAUGCGCAUGAUUAGUGGAUAUUAUGGAUGGUGGACACGGAUUAUGAGUAGAUCAUAGAAAUAGAUAUCGGAGGUACAUCGUAGGCUGCAGAUAGGAUAAGAUUUAUUUGGUGCAUGCAUGUCCAUGGACGCGUCACCGACUCUUUCACCUGCCACAUGGAAAACUGCCAAGGUUAGAUAGAUUAGAUGUUCAGAUGGGGGAACUUUGCGUCUUUUUAUGCAUUCAAAAGUCAAAUGAUGAUGGAUGGAUUCCCAAUUUUGUACUGAUACAGUGAUGCACUUAUUGGGGGGUUUUGUUAUUUUACUCUGAUCUUGGGAAAGCGUGGAUUAGAGUAAGUCUUUGGAUCUCCCAUGGUAAGUAAUUCGCAUUUUAAAUUCUUAAGAGACUCUCGUAUAGUUGCAUUCACUUGCAAUGAACAUAUCGAUACAUCACCCAGGCUCUCCCUAUGAUUUCUGUUUUUGAAAAAACUGGAUAUUAAUUAAUUAGUUAUGUGUACAUCAUACAAGAUGUGCAUAUGCAUUUGGCGCCCGUAAUUUACCCACACUAAUCUCAUAAAUUAUGACCGAUAAAGAAAAUCUCAUAAUAUUCCUUUUCCAAAAAUGCAAGCAAAAACUCCAAUGUAUUUUGAUGGAACGACUUAAAAAGGAGGGAGAUUUUGAAGAGUUUUUCAGUGGUAUGGUAUUGAGCAAAACUAGUGGGAAGAGGGUAUUGACGGACCAGAAGGGAGGUCAUGGUAGACUUGUCAUGGGUAAAAUGACUAAUAUUCUACAUGAAGAAGAGGUUGGAAGACUGAAUUGGCACGCCUGAGUAAGGCAUCCAGGUGCCAAACUUGACCCGGCCAGAUGUGGUCCAAGGCAGCCUACCUUGCCCGAAAAAGAUGAUUUAUAUUCUAUUUUAUAUGAUAGGCGGGCUAGCCACCAAGUCAAGGUGUAUCACGAGUCUUUUAACGGGACCCGCUCGGUGAUCAUCUAGGCGUUGCCGGCUUAGGUCCCAAAAGUUUGUCACUGACCGUUGAAAAUAUUGGAGAGUUGCAAUGCACUUGAUUUUAGUUAGAAAUCCUUGAUGGUUCUUGUUCCUCUCUUACCAAAAAUCGUUGAUCCAUAAGUCAGUUGGGUCUUUGGCCUAGCUUCACCGAUUCCUUCACAUUUCUCUCCUAAGCAUAAGGAUAAGGUGACAUUAAACAAAUUCAUGAUACUGCCAAAUCAUGAAAACCAGACGAAGUCCUGGACUCCUCGUCAUUUGACAAGCGGGAGCACAAAGAAAGGCUCCCAUCAUGUAACGAUGGGCUGGAAUCAUGCAAAGAAGCGGAUAAUAUAGAUUACUAAAGUAAGUAAGAAUUCAUUUGGAAAGAAAUUAAAAUAAUCGAAAGGCAAGUAGGAUGAUUACCAAAGGAAUAAAACAGACAACGAUGUUAAGGACAGCAUCGAUGUUCAACCAAGUGAGAGAAGCAAGUCGGCCUCAAAUUGCUUAUGAACCUCCCAUUUGUUUGUCGAUUGUCGCGAUUUGCUUUAUGUGUGUUUGGCGUUUCAAAGAACUUGUAUAUGAUCUUAAGCAUGGCCAGCAGAUACGGCCGUUGAUGUGGAAACCUCAAGUUUGGAUUUAUGUCUCUCAUUUCAUAAAUUUUAGGAUUUUAGGUUUACUUGAUUCUUUAAUUAAGUUAGUUUAGGAUUUUCAUUUGGUAUAGAGUGUUUUAUUCUGUUAUUUCCAUUAUGUUGAGCUUUUAAAUUUGUGAAGGCAUCUCAUCUUUGAUUGAAAGAUGUCCUAAUGAUUCUUAGGGUUAAGUUAUACGCACAAUAAUAUGCGCUUUACCUUCAUUUAAUUCAUUUAUCUCUUGUAUAGAUAAGAUUUCUCUUUGUGCGUUUCAUGUGUGUGCUCUACGUCUGUGAGUUGAGACUUGCGCUUUUCGUUUUCACCGUAUCAAUUGGUACAAUAGCAUGGUAGAUAAUGGGGAUGCAAUGUCCGGAAACAACAGAAAUAGCGACAACCAUCCUGCCAACAAAGAUUAGAGGCACAGGCUUUAUGAAGCGUUGUUCUUCGUCUAAAAGCAUCUCAAUAGAACGUGGAGCAAAAGAUCGGUGGAAUGUCGUGGACAAAGAACACGAUUGCAAAUUGACUUGUUGUUUUAGACCUAGAGAGAAAGCUGAGUAUGGACAAAAUAAUGGUCCCGGUGUGUAAUCGAGCUUGGGGCCAACCGUUUGAUGAUCCUAUAUAAGUUAGCCUAAAUUAUUGGCGUUCAGUUUAUUCGAAAACUAUGGAUUCAAGUGAAGAGGAUUUUAGAACGCUUGGAGGAUGUAACUAGUAUAAUGACGCACGGACCCCUGGAGUGCCUUAACUUUGGCCAAAUGAACACUUAAAUGCCAUAACUUACGAAAGGUACACUUAAGUGCCAAAAUCGGAGUAAAAGAGAUCACUUGAGUGCCAAUCCGGCCAAAAUCCGACCAAAAUAUCGACGUGGCACUUUUCCGGCGAACCGAGCCCAAAACAAUGCCAUUUUGCACACUGACAUGGCCAAAACGGCGUCAUUUUGGGAUGACGUGGCAAAAAAUAAAAUAAAAUAAUUAAUUAAAUUAAAUUUAUUUAAAAUAUUUAAAAUUAAUAAUUUUAAAAUUAAAUUUAGUUAAAAUAUUUAAAAUUAAUAAUUUGAAAAUUAAAUUCAGUUGAAAUAUUAAAAAAUUAAUAAUUUUAAAAAAAAAAAAGGAAAGGGGGGGAGGGAUUAGCCCUCAGCUGCUACCGCCGCCGCCGGGAAGGGCCGGCAACGGCGGGGGGAGGGUCGGCCGACCGGCGGCGAGGGCUCAUGAGCCCUCGCCCCAGAUCGGGGGGAGGGCCGCGAGCCCUUGCCACAGAUUUGAGGAUGGUCGCGACUCUCGCCCAGAUCCGGCGAGGGCUUGCGAGCCCUCACGACUCUCGCCCAGAUCCGGCGAGGGCUUGCGAGCCCUCACUGCCAGUCGGUCGGGGUUGCUGGGCCCUGGCCAGGGGCCGGCGACCCCAGCCGACCCUCCCCCCGCCGUCGCCGGCCCCUUCCCGACAGCAGCAGGCAGCCCCUCUUUCCUUUUUUUUUUAAUCCCUCAACCGCCUCCCCCUCUUUCCUUUUUUUUUUAAUUUUUUUUUUAAAUUUUUAAUUAUUAAUUUUAAAUAUUUUAACUAAAUUUAAUUUUAAAAUUAUUAUUUUUAAAUAUUUUAACUAAAUUUAAUUUAAUUAAUUUUUGAUUUUUUUUUACCACGUUAGCCCAAAACGACGCCGUUUUGGCCACAUCAGCGUGCAAAACGACGUCGUUUUGGGCGCGCUUCGCCGGAAAAACGCCACGUUGGCGUUUUGGCCGGACUUUGGCCGAAGUGACACUCAAGUGAUCCGUUUUUCUUCGAAUGUGGCACUUAAGUGUACCUUUCGUAAGUUAUGGCACUUAAGUGUCCCUUUGGCCAAAGUUAUGGCACUUGAAGCGUUCUUUUGCCCUAGUAUGAUGGUUGCCACAAAAGGUGCAGAUUACGAGCAGGCAGUGUUUAAAGCUUGUAACUCAUCUACUAUUGUUACUAAAGAGGACUAAUGCUAGCUCCUCGAUGUGUGUGAGGUUUAGAAAGGAAAGCAAUGAUAGAGUAACAAAUGAAGACGAAGAGAAGGUUGGCUUGUCCUAGUGGAACAACAGACGAAGACGAGGGAAUGUCCGCCGGUCUAGAAUUUGCAUAUCAGGCAAACAUGUCAAAAGCCGUGGUUGUAUCACUAGAAGGACUUGCAUCAAAAUUAGAAGAUAACAAUUUUGGAGAGGAUGAUUCAUAAGUGGAUAGAGGUAUAAGAUCUUCUAAGAAUCUAUUCACAAAAGAGAUGAUUGGAAGGGGUGAAGAUAUUAAUAGAUGACUGGAAGGGGUGAAGAGAUAAGAAUAUCUUGUGUUCUCAAAAUAUAAAUAUCUAAACGCACAAAGACGACUAGAGAUAGGAUUCCAUCAUAUAUACCGUUUGUGCUUAAUGUCAUACCCAAGGAAGGAGAAAAUAUUCAGUGGUUAGCAAUCACCACGUCAUCGUCUUACGUGGCGCGCACAAGCUUAAGUGGCUCCACUAACAAGUUCACACGUGUCGUUGAAUUUGGACUAACCGGAAAAUAUAGAAGUAAAAAGUCGGAGGGUUUCUUUUUCUCUCUCCCCCUAACAACCGGUUGAAAAUAGGCUUUGCAGAAGCAAUUAAUAAUGCUUUUGCCGCUCAAAACCUCUCUCCUCAUUUCAAUUUUCAAGCCUUCUCCUUCGUUGGGUUGAGAGGAAAAAAAGAAGAUAUCUUCUCUCUUUCUCCGGCACGCCCGACCGCUCCAUCUCCCCCUCCUCCCCCCUGCUCCUUCCCCUUCCCCUUCCCCAAAGCCCCCGUCGGUCGCAAAUGCUAUUCAGAUCUGCCCUCUGGCACGUCGCUUCCCCCAAGAAUCCCACUCAGUCAUAGCUGCUUGGUCCCGAGCCCGUUCGCCUCUGCCGUCACCUUCGGAGCCUCAUCGGCGGCUAUGAUUCAUCAGCCGACUCCUCUCUCUCUCUCUCUCUCUCUCUCUCUCUCCCCCCCCCAUAUCACCUACGAUUGCGCCAGUCUCUUGGGAACCUGAUGGCGUCCACUGUGGUCGGAGCCAUGGACUGAAGCUCAGGUUCAACUUCGGUGUCGUCACUGUCGUUGCCUUUCCGGCGUCGGCUCUAGAAACCGUGACUAACUCGGUUGUGAUUUUGGGUUGAAGCGGAAGCGGAAGAAGCUUGCGAUUGCUGGGUCCUGAACCCUCCGCCUUCACAUGAUGCUUGCUUCAUUUGUCGCCUUCCUCGCUUUUCCAACGCCGCCGAUAGAAACCGCGCGAGGCUCGGUUUUGAUUUCGGGCUUAGGCGCAUCGCCACUGAAGCGGAAGAAGUUUGCAACUGCUGGGUCCCAAGCCCUCUCGACCUUCACAUGCCACUCGCUUCGUUCGUCGCCGUCAUCGCCUCUCUAGCGUUGGUUCUGCACAUUUUCUGAAUGCUUGGUUAACUAAUUAUUAGUUAGUCUUUGUCAAAUUCUGGUGCUGUGUAGUUGUUGGCUUUGGAAAGAAGAGAGGCCCCCACUCGCAUGAGAAAUGAACUUCGUGUGAGCCAAAAGAGAGGAGCUGUGUAGCGGUCUGCAAAGAUGGGCUUUUUGGUUUUUUGUUUCUUCAUUGGGAUAUUGUGCUUUUAAAUUUGGGGUUUGAUUGCAUACUCCGGUUUUGGUGACUUCAAACAUAUUGGAUCAUGUUGAGGUUUUGCCUACCCACUCAGCUACAGAUAAUGUAGUUUUGUUCCCUUCUGAUAAUCAAGUUAUUGAUUUUCGAUGGCUGAGCUUUCUUCUUACGCUUUUUUGCUGCGGUACUUUUACUUAAAUUGUAUGCGUUAUGUGGUCUCCGUGUUUUGAUUGGUUCUCAUUCCAUUCCACAAGAAAUAUGUAUGUGAAGAAAGAUGGGAUGUCUGUGGGGAUGGCGAAUGAUGAUUCGCCCUUGGUAAUGACUGAUGUCUGGCAAAACCCAUAUGAGUUUCAUUAUCAAUUGAAGUUGAAGUCUAUUCAGUCAUAUGGCCUUUCAACUUUGAAUGUACCCAGAUGAUGAUGAUGAUGGUAGCUGGCAAGUGUAGCUUGUUAGGUUAGGUGUUGGGCAUAUCACAUGCCUGCAUGUGGAAUCUAGGCAUGCCGAGGGGUUGAAUUUGUGGUCUUUAAAGUUGAGUUGGAACGCCGGUUGAGGUUGUUUUACAGUGCACAAUUUGGCAAAAACUAAUCACCUAAUUCAAAUCCCUCAGGUAAAAUAAGAACAGCCCCCACAUUCAAACCUCCCCUUUUACCAUUAGCAAAAAUAGGAUGAAUUGAGACGGUAUUUUGUAAAUACGUAAUUAUCUUGAAUAACAGUUACAUCUUUCCAGCUAUUGGGACACCAUAUGAGUACCCCCUCUUUGGGAAAUAUUUGCAAUUGUUCGAACCUCGUGGCCGCAAGGUGGGCGGCAAAAAUAGUUCCAAUCUCAGAUGGAUGAAUCAGCUUCUGGUGUCCAAGAGCCUUUUAAAUUGAGAAGUAACUACAUCGGACUUGUCCCCCUCAAGGAAUGAAACAGACUUUUGCUUAGGAACAUUUUCAGUGAUUGUUUACAUAAUCUCGUUGAAUAAAUUCUCAGUUGUUUUCUCAGGCAUUGUUCCCGGGAUUCAAUGAAGCAAACCUUUUGAACAUUUAGUUCAUGCAAGAGUAUGCGUAAGUCUUAAUCCUUAUGAGAUGUUCGGAAGCAAAAUCAAGCGAAGAUGACGCACAACUUUGUUAACUCAUUCCUGAAGUUGAUUUUAUAUGCAGAGGCAACCCUGUUCACAUUAUAAACCAGCCAAACAGCCAAAAAAAAAUUCGACGAUUGAAAAUCUUGACCAGCAACUGCACCAUAUCGACAGUUGCACCAUAUUGAUUCUGAAGCACCGUGGUGCUGCAUUAUGUUUAAAUUUCUGGAAUUCCACAUAACUGAACCUUUAAACCUAAACAUCGGAUUCACCGAUUGUAUAAUUUGAAAAAAAUAAUAAUCAUGGCCAUGAGCCGACACCAGAGCAGCUUAGAUGGUCUUAGGACUCAUAGCAGUAAAUUAAAUUCCAACGUCAUGCACGGCACAUAUUGGCAUCAACGUGCAGCAAAAGCGACCAUCAAUAACAAGAAUCAACGUGUUCUUGCCAAAAUGCUUGCAGAAGAUGCCAUUGUAGUGCCCUAUUUUUGGACAGCAGACUCCUACACAAGCCGUUAGCAUACACCACACUCAGUCUUGGCCGAUCAAUUCUAUAUGCCAAAAAAACACGGAGACCACAUAACGCAUACAAUUUAAGUAAAAGUACCGCAGCAAAAAAGCGUAAGAAGAAAGCUCAGCCAUCGAAAAUCAAUAACUUGAUUAUCAGAAGGGAACAAAACUACAUUAUCUGUAGCUGAGUGGGUAGGCAAAACCUCAACAUGAUCCAGUAUGUUUGAAGUCACCAAAACCGGAGUAUGCAAUCAAACCCCAAAUUUAAAAGCACAAUAUCCCAAUGAAGAAACAAAAAACCAAAAAGCCCAUCUUUGCAGACCCCUACACAGCUCCUCUCUUUUGGCUCACACGAAGUUCAUUUCUCAUGCGAGUGGGGGCCUCUCUUCUUUCCAAAGCCAACAACUACACAGCACCAGAAUUUGACAAAGACUAACUAAUAAUUAGUUAACCAAGCAUUCAGAAAAUGUGCAGAACCAACGCUAGAGAGGCGACGACGGCGACGAACGAAGCGAGUGGCAUGUGAAGGUCGAGAGGGCUUGGGACCCAGAAGUUGCAAACUUCUUCUGCUUCAGUGGCGAUGCGCCUGAGCCCAAAAUCAAAACCGAGCCUCGCGUGGUUUCUAUCGGCGGCGUUGGAAAAGCGAGGAAGGCGACAAAUGAAGCGAGCAGCAUGUGAAGGCGGAGGGCUCAGGACCCAGCAAUCGCAAGCUUCUUCCGCUUCCGCUUCAACCCAAAAUCACAACCGAGUUAGUCACGAUUUCUAGAGCCGACGCCGGAAAGGCAACGACAGUGACGACACUGAAGUUGAACCUGAGCUUCGGUCCAUGGCUCCGACCACAGUGGACGCCAUCAGGUUCCCAAGAGACUAGCGCAAGCGUAGGUGAUAUGGGGGGGGAGAGAGAGAGAGAGAGAGAGAGAGAGAGAGAGAGAGAGAGGAGUCGGCUGAUGAAUCAUAGCCGCUGAUGAGGCUCCGAAGGUGACGGCGGAGGCAAACGGGCUCGGGACCCAGCAGCUGCGACUGAGUGGGAGUCUUGGGGGAAGCGACGUGCCAAAGGGCAGAUCUGAAUAGCAUUUGCAACCAAUGGGGGCUCUGGGGAAGGGGAAGGGGAAGAAGCAGGGGGGAGGAGGAGGGGGAGAUGGAGCGGUCGGGCAUGCCGGAGAAAGAGAGAAGAUAUCUUCUUUUUUUCCUCUCAACCCAACGAAGGAGAAGGCUUGAAAAUUGAAAUGAGGAGAGAGGUUUUGAGUGGCAAAAGCAUUAUUAAUUGCUUAUGCAGAGCCUCUUUUCAGCCGGUUGUCAGGGGGAGAGAGAAAAAGAAACCCUCCGACUUUUUACUUCUCUAUUUUCCAGUUAGUCCAAAUUCAACGACACGUGUGAACUUGUUAGUGGAGCCACUUAAGCUUGUGCGCGCCACGUAGGACGAUGAUGUGGUGAUUGCUAACCACUGAAUAUUUUCUCCCAAGGAAGGGACAUAAACAAGCACAAGGUUCCAACUUUGUGCAUUCUUGAUGAGGAAGAAUAUUAUUGGGGACAUUACCAUAUAAGCGUUCACAAGGAGAAAUGUUACCUAUAAUAGGUGACCGAGUACGAUUGAGAGUGUAUUUUAGUCAAGCCUCUUCCAAUAAAAAAAACUAUUAUAGACAAGAGGCGGAAACUAAAAGAGUACUUUGUAAUAUCCAAAAUAUGCUUAUGUUUACAUUUUGCUCAACCAUUUUGUUGGGAAGUGUUUGGACAAAAAGAUGAAUGAUAGUACCAUUUCUAGAGAGAAUUCUAAGAAAUUCGUUGUCUCUAUAUUAUGUGGCAUUAUCAGUUAAAAAAAACUUGAUAUUUUCAGAAAAUGUGUUUUUUUCAUGACAAUAAAAUCGCAAUAGAUAAAAAUAGGUUCAAAUGAUUUUUUGUAUGAUAGAGCCUAGUAUGACGAAAAGGAUCAUCCACAAAGAUUACAUAAUAACAAAAGCUUUGAUUACAUAAUAGCAAAAGAAAUGUUACCUUUGAUAAGUGACAGAGUGUAGUUGAUAGUGUAUGUUAGGCAAGCCUCUUAAAAGAAAAAAAAAAAACUAUUCUAGACAAGAGGUGGAAACUAAAAGAGUACUUGUAACAUCUAAAAUAUGCCUAUGUAUACAUUCUGCUUGACCCUUUUGUUGGGAAGUGCUUGAACAAAAACGAUAAAUGAUAAUCCUUUUUUGGGAGAGAAUUCUAAGAAAUUCGAUGUCUCUAUAUUCCGUGGCAUUAUUAGUAAAUAUUCAAGAAAAUUGUGUUUUUAUCAUGGCAACAAAAUUGUGGUAAAUACAAGUAGAUUCAAAUUGAUUUUUCAUAUGAUAAAGCAUGAUAUUAUGAGAAUGAUCAUCCACAAAUAUUAAUAUAAUAGCAAAUGCCUCUCAUAGUGGGGAUUGGAGAUGAUCUCCAAAUAAUAGAAUAAAUUGGAUAAAAUAAGAGCAUGAGAGAUAAAUUCACUAAGAGAAAAUGGCAAGCCUGGGGAUGAGUAUGGUCCAGGUUAAGCAGCUCCACCCCCUAACCUUAAGACCAACUCGCACAGUACUGGUCAUCAAUUUAAGACCAAUGAUCAAUCCUAAUGAGCCAAGGAUCAAACUGACCUAAUGGGUUCGAUAUGAUUCCAAGAUCAACUUGAAACCAACCGAUAAUUUUUUUUAUUUCAUUUUUUUUAUUUCUGAAAAAAAAAUUACUAUUUCAAAUUACAUAUCCAUUAAUAAUGUGGCGUUGUGCAAUCAAAUUAUAAAUACCAGUACAUAUUCAACAAAUUUAAGAUAAGGCAACAAUAAAAAUUUCACACCUGUUAAAACCAAGAACCAUAAAAACGAUUAAGACCGCUCAUAAAGAUAUGGGACAAAAUGGGAAGUUAAGCAGCAAGCGGGGAAGUUGAGUGGGGUAAGUGUUAAGCUUUGAACAAAGAAGUUGUUUCUUUCAAUUUUGACAAAUUGAAGACUAAGAAGACAAAGAAUACAGAAGAUAACAAGUACUAGAGGAGGAUGUUGUAAUGUUGUUUACGCCGUUUUGGACGCCAUGAGGAGCCGUUUAAUGUUAUUGAUGCUAUUUGACUUAGGAUUUUCUCUUGAGAAUAUAUUUAAAAAAUUAUAAAUAAUAUAUACAGUCAAGGUUGGUCAGGGUCAGACCGACCCUAAACUUAUAAGAUUGAGGAUUAACCCACACGGUAUUUGUUUAGGGAUCAUAGGACUAAGGAUCGACCCAAUCUCCCUAAGAACCGAACCAAGACCAGCAAUGUUAGGUUGGUCCAGGGUCAUCCAAGGUUAACCCUGGAUUGACACUCACCCUUAGCAAGCCAUGAUGUCUUUCCAAGAAACAAGGCAAACAAUCAAAAUAUUUAUUAUCAACAGAACCUAAAUAAUUAGUUGAAAUCAAAGACCUUAAUCUAAAUGAAGAACCAUUAUCUAAUUGAGAAUGCUAGUUUCAAAUGAUACUAUUGCAAUAAACCCCGCGAAAGAGUAUUUAAGGAAACAAGCUCAAGGAGGCAUAUUCUAUAGCAUGUCACAAUGGUUUAUCCUGUCUGUGAAUCCUACAUAUGAUGUUCAUGAAAAGAGAAAUGAAGUUCACACAAUUAGCCUAUGGAAAUCCAAUUAAUGAGAGCUUGAGAAUUAAAAAUGUGUUAGACAAGGAUAAUGUGGCUGUUGAGAUGUGUCUUGUAUGGCUGACUCUCAUUUGUAAAUUACCCAUUGUGUGAUUAGUAGGUUCACGUGAAGUGAAGGAUUUUAAUUAAAAUGAAUUGAAAUGCGAAGUCAUGUGAUUACAGCAAUUGGAAUACAAAAACUUGGAAUCAAAAUUAGCUAAAGCGACAGAUAUAAUAGAAGUACAAAGGAUAGAGAAGCCAAAAGUUAUUAGACUCUUAAAAAAGGGAACGAAGAUCCUUCAAGAAUUGAGAACAAAUUAUCUAAGAGAAGAAGCCUCUAUGUACCGGCUGUGAGUGAUGGACAUGCAUAUGAACCUUGGCUUCAAGGUUGAUUAUUCCGCUCAAUAGGAUGAUAGGUUGCAAUGAUAGGUUGCAAUUGAUAAUAAUUGGGUGCCAUAUCACCAUAUUAGCAACAAUGCUUACAAUUAUCCAUUAUAUGCACUUUACCAGCUUGCACACAAUAAUUUGUAUAAGGCUUAUAAAGAAACUAAAAGGUGAAGAGUUGAUAUGGAGCAAAUAAGGCCAAAAAUAGACUUGGGAUAUCAAAACAUAAUGGGAACUAAUAAAAAAAUCUCUCAGAACUAGUUGAAAAAUGUCUCAAAACCGGUUGGACCAAUUGAACUAAACUAAUCAAUAAUUGGUCAACGCCAGUCAACAAAAGAGGUUGAUGUGGACUAAUUUUGGAAAGAUUAUAUUGACAAUUCAUUAAAAAGUUUAUGAUUGAAUUGCUAUUAUACAAUAGAUUUAAGAUUUUUUAAAUGAUUUUUCAUGAUUUUUUAGAAUUAAUGAAUGAUCUAACUUGGAAAUAAAUCUAUCCUAUGAUAUCCUUGAUAAUAACCAACAAAAAGAGAUUGAUGCUACUAAUAUUUUCGCUAAUAAGGUUAUGGAGUUUCAAAAAAAAAAAAACCAAAGCUUUUUAGUUUCCUUUUCAAGAAUCAGAGGAUUUUAAGCUUGAGUAAAAAUCUCAAGGUGAGAAUGUUUUCCACAAUAAUGCAAUGAUAUUUCUGGAGAAAAGCCCUUAUCCUGUCAAUGCGAAGGUAAACACAAAUUGACGAGAAAAUUAAGGAGAAUGGGAUAAGAUUAGAUCUAAAAUUGACUAUUUAAAAAAUCAAUUGAUAGAUCGAUCUUGAAGUUUGUUUGGGAUAUUUCUUUUAACAUUGUUAAAGUAAGAAACUUUGUUUGAUUUUCUGGAGUGUGGUUCCAAUUUAUAAUAUAUUUGCUUCAUUAAUUUAUCCAUAAGCUUAAAAUUUGAGAUCGACUUUUGUCCAACAAAGAAAGAAUGAUGCUGACAUCUCCAAUAUGCAUUUAUGGCUUUCAUUCAAUAAAUAUAUUUUCAUAUUUAGAAUUUGAUGUGUUCUUCUUUGAUUGACUUAAUUUAGGAUUUAGUUUAGAAAAAUCAAAAUUUGUCAUUUUUAUUGCCUUGAGUUCUUGAAUUUAUUAUGGUAUCUCAUCUUUGAUUAGAAGAUAUUAUAGAAUUUAGGGGUGAGCAUGGUCCAACUUGAACCAAUGUAGCGCCUAACCCAUAAACCAAUUGACAUAGUCUUGGUCCUUGAAUUUUUGGGAUCGAGAACCGAUCAUGUUGAGUUUGGGACUAAGAAUUGAACCUAUCUUGUGGAUCCAGUUCGGUUCUAGAGGUAAUCCGAGACCAAUCAAUUCUCUUUUAUUUUUUAUUUUUUGUAUUCCUAAGGACAAACAUACUCUUUGAAAUUAUAUAUUUAUCAAUAAUAUGAUAGUGAGCAAUCAAAUGGUGAACACUGGUACGAGUACGAAUCAAAUCUAGAUCUAAGAUAAGAUAAUAACAUAAAUUUUCACUUGCAAAACAUAAUAGACUAUAGAGAAUGAACACGUAAAAUAAAACAAACAACGAGAAGUAGAGAAUCGCGAAAGGAAAGGGAAGAGAAUUAGAGGUAGAAGAGCGAAAAGUAGGGGAAGAGAAUCGAUUACUCACUCAAAUAAGUACAAAGAAAACGAAGAGAUUGCCCCUGAAGAGAUGGAAAUGGACGAUUUCAACAAUGAUCUGAGAUUGAGGAGAGUAAGAUCGAGAGAGAGAAAGACAAAGGAAGAGAAGAGGCACUUAUAGUCAUAUAGUUAGGAUUUGGACAAAAAGAAAAUAGAUAACUACAAGGUUGGUUGGGGUUAGGCCAACCCUAAAAUCUUAAUGUUAGGGAACGACCACACAAUAUAGGUUCAGCAGUCCUAGAUUAGGGAUUAGCCCAAUCCCCCUAAGAACAGACUAGGACUGAUUGAGUUGGGCCGAUCCAAGGUCAACUUAGACUGAUGCUCAUCCCUUUUUAGAUUUAAUUGAUUUUUCUUUUGGGUAUCGCUAUGAUUUUUUUUUUUAUUCUCACUAUUUCCUUGUUUUUUUUCCUUUACUCUAUUGAGUCAAGGCUUAGCAUAUAAGUAUGCACAUUUAUUUACACAUAAUUUAGCUUUGUCUCCUUUGAGUAACAUAGAAAAUCUGGAGAAAUAUCUUUGUGUGAGCUUGUGUGCUGGAUUUGGGCUUUGCCUUUUCGAGUUGAAACUCGUUUUUUUUGUUUCCAUUGCAUCUGCUAAUUGUUGUCAUUAACGUUAUUACCAACACAAUCUCCAUCUUUUCUUUAGGCACUUGAAUCGGUCUUUUUCCAUGUUCAACUUAUGCAUUUGCUUAUAUUGAGUUGCGUCAUCUCGAAAAAUGAUUGAUCCCUUAAUUCCUCUCUCUCGCUCACGUGCAAUGGCCCCUUUGCCCUUAGCCCCUAUCUAGGCAUUGGCCCUAUUCAAUAGGAUGAUUUAUUCUCAUUCCAAGAUUAAUCGAGAAUCUUAUAACCAAGAACUGAACUAGAUCUCCUAUUCAGUCCAAUGGAGCCAAUCACUUUUUUUUCCCAUGCAUUGUGUUAUGGAAAAAAAAAAAGUUGGUCAUCUUUAUUUUUUUAAAGAAAUUAAAAUACAUAUAUGUAAUUCAUCCGAUUGAGUUCUCAACCGGACCACUCGAACACCAAUUAUACUUUUAGGAAUUGACUCCAAACCAACACUCCUAGGAAUCAAUCGAACUGAUCGGUUCGGUCCGGUCAAGGUGGUUACUGAUUCGGGUGGUCCAUUUGCACACCCCCACUGUUCAAGCUUGAAAUUUUGGGCUGAGUCCACUGAUUAGGCCAAAAUAAACUCAAUGGGGGCGCAAACACUAUUUCUCCCUCUCAUUUUCGCCGGAAAAAUUACCAAAAAAGUAUUAAACCCCUUAUACAGAUGCUUAUGUAUUUCUAAACUUUUUAAUUUGACCAAUUUAAUUAUAAAUCUUUUGAUGAUUUAUUAAUGUAUUACUUCCUUCUAGCCAAAUUUGGCCACAACUCGUUAAUAAGACACUAGCUUCUUCUUCUUCUUUUUUGUGAUAUGGCCUGCUGAUGUGGAAAAUUUCAUAGAUUUUCAUUUUUUUUUAAUUUUAUAUGUUUUUUUGCUUUUCAUUUUGUCGUAUUUUCCUCUACUAGUUCACGGCCUCAGAGAUAGGUGAGGGCUAGGACACUCUUGCUGGCCCAAAUUUACCUUGGAAAUCACAACCUUCGCUAGAUAUUAAGAUUGAAUAGUUGCAAGGUCAGUCCAAGUCCUAAUUGGAAGCAGUUCCCUAGUUUUUUGAAUGUGCAACCUAUUUCAUAUAACUUUGAAUGUGGAAUUUACCCUGUCAAUCGGUUUUAGCGUCGAUUCUAGGAUUUACUGAAUUCUCUCUCUUUUUUUGGUGUUUUUUCUUUUUCUUUUUUCACUUUUAGUUAAGUAAAAUGAAAGAGCACAAUAAUAAUAAUAUGCAUUUAUUAAUAGUAACAAUCCAUAAAAGAUUAAAAAUUUAAAUAAAAUAAAUACUAAAAAUUUCAAAACACACAACCGUGGUUCAUUUGUUCCUAGUUCCCAAUUCUCAAUCUAGUUCUUCAAUUUCUAGUUUGAUUCUUACCUAUGGACCAAGAAUCAAAUUGCAUAGUACCAGUUCCACUUCUUUUUUUUGGGAACCGAUAACCGCAAGAAUCUAAAAUAAAGCUGGUUCUUAAGAUUGAUUCGAUUCAAUUUUUGGUUCUACCUUAAACCCAUGCUCACCCCUAUCAAAUAUGAGUGAGAACUCACGUGUCCUCUUCAACCAUAAAAAUGCCCAGCAACACCCUCACCUAGUAGGGUUGCACAAUGGCCUUCCUGGCCCUCAAUAAAAAUAAAGAAAUAAAAAAUGUAAAAAAGAAAAAAAUCCAAAAAAAAAUAUUUUAAAUUUUUUUUUUUAUGUUAAUGCUGGUUGUGCCACGUGGGAUGUGCGACACCCCAGAAUGUCAUGCUUGACACAUGUCAUUUAUAAUUGUGUCAUCUUUUAACUAUUAGCAUGUUUAAGCAUAAUCAAACAUCCAAACUUCCCUUACAAUGAAAAUUGCAUGAGUAUAUUUAUUGAACUUAUGUUUCUUUAUUUAUAUUAAGUAUCAGUUAAAUAACUUUACUACAUUAUUCAAGAAAAAUAAAAAGCACACAGGUCAUGGGAAGGGUCUAGGUUCACUAUCUUCCGCAUUACUUCUUUGCUCAAAAGCCAACUUGUACAAAAAACAAGAUAUAUAUCCCCUAUAAGAGAUUGCUCGAAUUUAAUAAUAUACAUAUGCGUCUUCUUUAAAAUAACAUCAAGAGGUUCUAACUGGUUACAACAUUAAGCAGAACAUGACGUAAUACAUACAUAGUCUUGGGACGAAGGUCGGGUCAACUAGCACUACUACUUCCAUACUAUUCCAAAGGCGAGCCUAUACAUUAACCAAAGCGCCAUCCAAUUUAACGGUCAGUGGCCUCCAACAUCAUCUCUUCCCCUCAAUCUUUGUAUCUAGAGAGACCGUCUUACAAAUCUAGAAAAAAAUAAAACUAAAGGAUGAGUCGAAAUCCAGUAAAUGAGUUCCAGGGAAUACAAAAUAACCUUGCAUGACAAAUGCAUAAGUAAAUAUCUUAUCCUUAACAUCGUGAUGGAAACAUUAAUAAGAUGCAUAAUUUCUUAAAAAAUUGCGCCUCAAAAUCCAAUUUGAUUCUUCCCUAUUAAACUUUUUGCACCGCUUUUUAGAAGUCGUUGUCUAAUCCAUAUAAAUUCAUGUGAGUUGAUGUCGAAUCAAUCAGUGAUCCUAGAGAUCUCGUUGCAAAGUUUAUUUGAUUAUUGGUCGCAAAAAGCAUGGCCAUGGCUAGGUGACCUCGCCUAGGCCACCUACUAGGCUGGCGAGGGUUGAGAGGCUCAAGGUCGAAGGGUGUGACCUUUAGUCUGGGUGAGCCUUAUCGGUCAUGGGUAGAUCGCGGCCUCAUCAUCGCUGGGCGAGGCUUGCCAUUGGACGACAAGGCUGACAUCACCGAUGCUAGUGUUAUGGUCUGUGAAUCCUCCCGUACUCGUGACCUUGUGAGUGGUGCUUGGGGUUAUCGGGUGAAGAAUGAGGAGGCAGAGGGGACGAACACAACUAGUUCGUGGGAGUGGUGUCAGAACGGUUGGUGCUAGGAGUUCUAGGAUAGAAGGAUUAUAUCACUUAGGAGCUCUGAAAGCAGAGUAGGCCUCCCGUGCACAAACUGGUUGGGAGCUGAUGCCGCUCUCCUAACGAAGCCAUGGCAGGCCGAAACCAGUUGUUGAACCUAAAUGGAUCUACUAUCUCAUUCGAUGGACUUGAUGCCUGAGCGAAGCUGGGUGCAGUACGACCUCGUAUAAAGAAGCAUUCACCCUAUUGUUUGCUGGAACAAUUAUAGAAGGAAGGUUGGCCUAGCGAAUUCCGCUUGCCAGGUGCCUCACGGGUUGUUCUGCGACCGAGGAACUCUCGGCCCAUGACAAGUGGUAUCAAAGCAGGGAUCCCUUCAAUAGGUGGGUGAUUCAAGGAAAAGCCAGUGGUCUUCCCGAUCUUAUGAGGGUAGAGAGUGAUCGCUGGGGCCAGGGGGCUUGGACAACGUGCGGCUCUUAACUAGCUUCUGGGAUGACAAUGGGGGCAUAGGAAGGAACCGAAUUGCUCGCUGAAUGGGGAUAACGUUCCUGGAUCAAUGGGUGAAUCUUAAGAAGAGGUCUGCAAUCAUGUUUCCACCAAGGGGACCCUCUGUUGGCUUGCUGAGAUCAGGAGGAGCUUAGUAGGCGAAAGAAGGUGAUGCCAUAGGACUGCAGUUGGCCAGGGGGCCACACUUGUCGGGAAGCACAAGUGACUGGAGAUGCGUGAACAGCUUUGAUCGAUGGAAGCAAGCAAUGGAGUGGCGAGACUAUUCUGUUGGGCGUUGCCAUCUAUUUAAGUCCCAGGGAGUGGCAUUGAUGGUUAAGUGACAGAAUAGCCCGCAACGAGGGCCUUGCGAAAUUGAGUGGGGGAGAAUGUCACGGUCCGUGAAUCCUCCCGUACUCGUGACCUUGUGAGUGGUGCUUGGGGUUAUUGGGUGAAAAGUGAGGAGGCAGGAGGGACAAACACAACUGGUUCGAGAGAGUGGCGUCAGGACGGUUGGUGCUAGGAGUUCUAGGAUAGAAAGAUUAUAUCACUUAGGAGCUCCGAAGGCAGGGUAUGCCUCCCGUACACAAACUGGUCGAGAGCUUAUACCGCUCUCCUGAUGAGGCCAUGGCAGGCUAAAACCAGUUGUUGAACCUAAAUGGAUCUGCUAUCUCAUUCAAUAGACUUGAUGCCCGAGCGAAGCUAGGCGUGGUACGAUCUCGUAUAAAGGAGCAUUCAUCCUAUUGUUCGCUGGAACAAUUAUAGAAGGAAGGCUGGCCUGGCGAAUUCCGCUUGCCAAGCGCCUCACGGGUUGUUAUGCAACCAAGGAACUUUCGGCCUAUGACAUUAACCUCUAGCUUAUUGCCACCAACCAAAGGAAGGAGGAGGAAGUGAAGGACAAAAGAGAAAGAAAAAGAAAAAAUUAAUAAAAAAAUUCGAAUAAAAUAAAAUAUUAUUAAAAUAUUGUCCACAUUAGCAUCAAUCGAAUGGCUAGCGCUGACCAGCCAAAAUAAACCAGAUAAAUUGAAUUUGCACAAUUGCAAAAUGUUUAGGACUGAUUAGCUAAAAUGAAGAUGUUGGACCCGCUAGCUUGAUCACAAAGUUCGUAACUUACUUUGAUUGUCUUGUCGCCUUUCUUGAGAAAUAAUUUAUUAUAUGCACAAGAUACAUCCAUAUUCAAUCUAUUCGAAGUUUCGAUUCUAAUAGAUCCAUUGCGGUAGACAAUUAACAUAUUUUUUAUGAACUAAUUAGUCGGGUAUCAUGCUAGCAACUCCAAAAACCGUGAUUGGAGAUGGAGAGCAAGACAAAAAUUUCAAAAAAUAGAAGGAACGAGCACGUGACAUUUCACAUUAUCAAAUUAAAAAAUCACCUAGAAAGUGUCUUGCGAUCAAGGCUAGACACUCGUUGUUAUGCCAUUUGGCAAAUUAAAUCUGAAAGUAUGUCUCAUCAUGAGCACCUUUUGCCUAAAAGGACAUUAAACAAUAUAUAGUCCAACAUAAUUAAGAUGUAUCACUGCACUUAAUUACUAUACAAUUACAGUGGAGCUUUUUAAGAUAUCCAAAGUGCGAUAACCCUUAAGAGAAGGGUAUCAACGCUAAUCCCAGGUCUGUAGCAACUCUUAGGAUUAGCUAUAUAGAGUUAUACACAUUGUCCACAAUACAUAUACAAAAUACGUAUUUCAUACUUGGUUGAACCUAGCUAAUGGGAGAGGAGGGCGCCGGGGUGUUGGCGGCGGUGCCGCCAAGAAGUUCUUGCUGCGAAAAUCCACCAGUAGCAUGCCACCGUACGCUUUAGCCGCCUCAAAGCAAUCCAUGGGCUUCUGGGGAGGUGCUUGAGGAAUCAGGGGUUGCCUAACCUUCUUCCUAGCGAUACCCUCUUCUAACAUGGCGAAGGCUUCCUCUGCAAUUUUGGCAAGUUCCCGUGAAUGAUCCAUGAUUAGUGUUUACUGCUCUGAUAUCUCGUGCUAUCUAUGAGGCUGUGUUCUUUGUGCUGCUUCUGUGUGGUGAAGAACGAAACCCCCCUGGCCCUUUUUAUACCUCCGACUUCUCUGGAAAUAAGGCAAUAAUUCAAAAAGGAAAAGGCGAGGGUGAUGAAGAACCUGAAGAGAUAAGAGAUUUAUGCAUUGGUUUACCUUUCGGUGGCAAACCACGUUUCGCAGAACAAAUUCGUUGAUAUCUAUCCGGUCUUCUUUAUGCGUUGAAGGGAAUAAGACAUAGUCCUGAUCUCAUGGGGUGACGUGAACGAGUGACGAAAGACACGGGUAACGUGACCAUAUGAUCUUGUUUGUGGAAGGAAUAUAGGGGCAAGACUCACAAUUAUCCAGACCUAGCCCGUGUCAUAAAUCGAAUCAUCCAAACCAUAAUAGAUCAUUUUUUUAAAUUGGGUUGACCUUUUCUUUUUUACCUUGUUCUUUUUCUUUGAAAAAUGAGCCAUUUAUUUAGGGUUUAAAUAUUUCACGUAAUAAAUAAAUUUAUCAAAUUAAUAACUGGACAAUUUACUUAUGAUAGCUUCUAAACAACCGUUUGCAAAUUAAUGAUUUAACAACGAGUGUCUAGCCUUGAUCAUAGAAGACAGUUCUAGGUGAAUGUUUAAUUUCAUCACAUGAAAUGUCAAGUGCUCGUUCCUUUUCUUUAGCAAAAUUUUUGUUUUGCCUGCUCUCUCCACCUCAGUUUUUGGAGUUGCUAGCACGGUGCAUGACUAAUUAGUUUAUGAAAAAUAUGUUAAGGAUAUACCGAAAUAAAUUCAUCAUAUUCGACUGUUCAAAUGGAUUAAAUAUGAAUGCAUUCAAUGCAUAUAAUAAAUUAUUUCUCAAGGAAGGUCACAAGACCACCACAAGUUAAAAACUCCAUGAUCAAACUUGCGAUCCAGCAUCUUCUCUUCGUUCUCUUUUUUUAAUGCCUAAUUUUAUUCACUUACUUGAAUGGAUACCGAGUAAUUGCUGUAUGUUCUCCAAGAAUAUUGCGGGCCGGUACUUUUAGACACAUGAUAGUUAUUAAAAGAGUGCUGUUAAGCUAACCGCACCGUUAUUCCUUGCAGAUAAUGGUGCCUUUUUUUACCACACAUUUCCAUUGAGAUGCAAUUGGCAACCGGAACCUACAGAAUAAAGAGACAAUGAGCAAAUAUGGAAUCAUUGAUUGCUUUUGUUCCUCUCUAGAAAAAAAAUAUAGUUUGAUCCGUAUCUCCUCGGCACCUUGACUAACCAUCAUUUGGAACUUCCAUUUAUUUGCAAAAGUGCUGUCUAAUAUCUUUUUGACGAGGAUAUAAUUGGUUUUCGGGUGUUGAAUUACUGAGCAAUAAAUCAUUUCUGUAAUAAUUUGUUUUUGAGUUGAUAUUUAUUUAUUCAACAUAUACAACAAAUAUAAAUUAAGUUUCAGGCUUCCGCAUUUUAGAGUAGGAUGUCUUUGGGAUUCCUAUUUGAAAACCCAACUCGAAUCUAGGAUAGGCUCAAUUUUCGUUUAGGAUUAUUUCAAGUUUGAAAUAAGGUCGACCUCCCAAAUCCACUUCGUUGCGAUAUUUGACUAAGAUAAAUUAGUAGAAGAUUGUACGCAUUUUAUGCUAAAUUAAAUUGAAUAACUUAGUUUAAUUCAACAACUUAACAUCCAUAUAAGUCUAUUCGUAUGAGACAAGUUCAAGGAAACGUAGUAAUCGCAUAUGAAGAAUUAUUCUGAAGGGCGAGAGAAAUGUUUUUAACUGUCAAUUUCAAUAUAUAUAUAUAUAUACAUAUAAAGAUAAACGGAAUUUCAUAUAUUGCAAUUCAUGUAAUUAAAUGAUGAUCUCGCAUAUUAUGCUGCGAAAUGUUCUAUUGAUGAUAUAAAAUGAGACACCUCAUUGACUAUUGAUGAUAUAAAAUGAGACACCUCAUUGACUAUGCACAUGAUCGUAAUUACAUUUCACAAAGUGUUAAUUUAGAUAAAUUUUAACUAUAAUAAUAUAGUAUUCAUAUGUAGGUGUAUUGGCCAUGAUCAUUAAGGAUUUUUGUUUAAUUAAGCGUAAGCUAAGACUAAAUAACCAUCUGGAAGCUAUAGUGUUUUAAAAGGCCACAACUUCCUUGAGACCAAAAGAGCAAGUUAUCAUAUUCUUAGGCAAUAGUUACGCGGUCAAUAACGAACCAUUACUCUACAAAAUGUGAUGGGACCAUCUUGCUCGAUAUAUGUAUAAAAGAUUAUUGUUAAGAAAAAUAUGCAUACACAAUACCAUCUUCAUUGAAUUCAAUUAUACUUAACACAUAAUAUAGUAGAUAAUGUUGUUAUCUAAAUAAUUGAAUAGAUGCAGAUCUAAUAAUCUUUUAUGCUGAUUAUACUUAUAGGUAACACACAAUGGAGAACGUGUUAAUGGAAUCAGUUUUCUAGGAGGUUUGUGUUGAAUGUGAUUGUAUUGUUUUAUCUGAGGAUACGCUUGUUGAAUGUGAAGAAUGUUGUGACAGGAUGAGCUAGUCAUCAUUCUUCUGGAAAAUAACGGACCGUCAACCAAUCAUUUCUGGAAGAAAAUUAAGCAAAAAAAAAAAAAAUAGAGCUUAUCAGAAUGAAGAGAAGAUGCUGGAUUCGCCAGCUAGAUCACAGAGUUUGUAACUUACUUUUGUUCGUCUUUUUACCUUCCUCGAGAAAUAUUUUAUUAUAUGUAUCGAGCAGCAAUUCAUAUUUAAUCAAUCUGAACUGUCGAAUCUAAUAAAUCCAUUUCAUUUUGAUACAUGAUUAACAUUUUUUUAUAAACUAAUUAGUCGCAUAUCAUGCCAGCAACUCCAAAAGCUGAGGUGGAGAGAGAGCGCAAGACAAAAUUUUGAAAAAUAGAAGAAGGAAUGAAAAUGUCACAUGAUCAACCCACCUGUGGAUAGCGCAGUUAGUUGAGAUCUAUCCUUCUAGCGCAUGGAGGUUAAGAGUUCAAAACCCUGCGUUGUUAGCGAUUAAAGCGAGAGGCCCUAGCGGUGGGUUGCUGGGCCAGUUUCUCCCGAGAUAUAUUGUUUGGCAAAUUAAAUCUGGGAGUAUGUCACAUCAUGAGCACCUUUUACCUAAGGGAGACGCUAAACAUUAUAUAGUCGAACAUAAUUAAAAUUUAUUACUACACUUAAUCACUGUUGAAUUACAACAAAGCUUCUUAGGACAUCCAAAGUGCCAUAACCCUUGAGUGAAGGGUAUCGACGCUAAUCCCAGGAAUGCAGCAACUCUUAGGACUAGCUAUAGAUAGUUAUACAUAUUGUCCACAAUACAUAUACAUGAUACGUACUUCAUACUUAGUUGAACCUAUCUAAUGGGAGAGGAGAGCGCCGCGGCAGUGGCGGCGACGAGAAGUUCUUGCCAUGAAAAUCAACCAUUAGCAUGCCGCCAUACGCUUUAGCCGCCUCAAAGCAAUCCAUGGGCAUGUGGGGAAGGGCUUGAGGAAUCAGGGGUUGCCUAGCCAUCUUCUUGGCCACGCCCUCUUCUAACAUGGUGAAGGCUUCCUGUUCAAUUUGGGCAAGUUUGCGUGCAUAAGCUAUGAUAAGUGCUCUGAUACCUCGUGCUAAACUGGCGACUUAGCGAGUGAUCUAUCUAUGAGGCUGUGUUCUUUGUGCUGCUUCUAUGCAGUGAAGAACGGAACCCGCCCGUGGCCCUUUUUAUACGUCCAACUUCUUUGGAAAGAAGGCAAUAAUUCAGAAGGGAAAAAGCGACGGUGAUAAAGAACCUGAAGAGAUAAGAGAUUUAUGCAUUGGUUUUACCUUUGGUGGCAAGCCAUGUUUGGCGGAACAAAUUCGUUGAUAUCUAUCUGGUCUUCUUUAUGCCUUUUAAGAGAAAAGACAUGCCUCUUCUGAUCUCAAAGAGGCAUGAGUGACCAAUGACGUGGGUAAUGUGACCACAUGAUCUUGUUUGUGGAGAGGAUAUAAGGGCAAGAUUCAGAAUCAUCCACUGUAUGCACGGUCCAGACCUAGCAAUUGGGCGGGUUUGGACGAGUCCAGGCUGGGGUCUAACACUGGUCAGUAUCAUAAAUCAAACCACCGAAGCCAUACUAGAUCCUUUUUUAAAUCGGGCUGACAUUUUCUUUUUAGCUUGUUCUUUUUCUUCAAAAAAUCACCCAUACAUUUAGGAUGUAAAUAUUUCGUGUAAUAAAUAACUUCGCCAAAUCAAUAACUAGAAAAUUUACUUAAUAUAGCGUCCAAACAACCGAUCACAAAUUUAUGAUAGCUUCUAAAUAACUGCAUAAAUAGGUCGCUAGGCAUGUAAUGAUAACAAAUAACUAGAAAUUCACUAACUUUUGCAAUCCAUAUAAUUAGAUAAAAUAAAAUUUUUAAACAAGACAGUCUAAGACCAUAGUUCUAUAAGGAGUGUCAUUGAAAGGUAAUAUCGUUCCGAGUUUUAUAUUAUUUGACCAAUUCUAGAAAUACUACGACUUAUCCAGUAAAUAAGUUUACUUAGAGACCGUGUGAAGUAGAUCUUUAAACAAGUAGGUAUGUUAUGAGCACCCUACAAAAUUUUGCCCGAAAAAUUAUCAAAAAAAUCCUACACAUAUUGCAACUUUUCCAAUUUAGUCAUAAAUAUAUUUUUUAGCCAUUCGGUUAUAAACCUUUCAAUUCAAUCCAUUGAACCGACGUUUACGUCGAUAAUAUUUUAAUAAUAUUUUAUUUUUUCAAAAUUUUAAUUAAUUUUUCUUUUUUCCUUCACUUUCUCCUCCUUCCACCUGUUGGUCGUCGUUGCGAUUGGCUAGAGGCAGGGCCAGCAAGGGACCUCGCCGGCCUCAAGAAAGCAUGGCCAUGGUUGGGCAACCUCACUUAAGCCACCCACUAGCUGGCGAGGGUUGAGCCUUGCUAAAGGCUCAAGGUCGAAGGGCGUGACCUAGCGAGGUCCAAGGCUGCGACCUCUAGUCUGGGUGAGCCUUAUCGAUCAUGGGUAGGUUGCAGCCUCACCAUCAUUGGGCAAAAGGUUGACCUCGGCAAUGCUCGCCUCUGGCCAAUCACCACCAGCCAGAGGAAGGAGGAGGAAGUGAAGGACAAAAAGAGAUAGAAAAAGAAAAGUAGAGAAAAAAGAAAAAAAUUAAUAAAAAAACUCAAAAAAAUAAAAUAUUAUUAAAAUAUUGUCCACAUUAGUGUUAGCCAAAUAACUGGCACGGCUAGCCAAAGUUAGCUGUAUAGACUGAAUUAACACAAUUGUAAAAAGUUUAAGAAUGAACGGCUAAAAUGAAGAUGCUAGACUCACCAGCUUGAUCAUAAAGUUCGUAACUUAUUUUGAUCAUCUUGUCACCUUUUUUGAGAAAUAAUUUAUUAUAUGCACAAUAUACAUCCAUAUUUAAUCCAUUUGAAGUUUUGAUUCUAAUAGAUCCAUUUCAGUACACGAUUAACAUAGUUUUCAUGAACUAAUUAGUCGGGUAUCAUGCCAGCAACUCCAAAACCGAGGUGAGAUAGAGCACGGGACAAAAUUUUUGAAAAAUAGAAGAAGAAGGAACGAGCAUGUGACAUUUCACAUGAUCAAAUCAAAAAAUUCACCCAGAAAGUGUCUUGAGCGAUCAAAGCUAGACACUCGUUGUUAUGCCAUUUGGCAAAUUAAAUCUGAGAGUAUGUCGCAUCUCGAGCACCUUUUGCCUAAGAGAGACAUUAAACAUUAUAUAGUCCAACAUAAUUAAGAUGUAUUACUGCACUUAAUUACUAUACAAUUAUAGUGGAGCUUUUUAAGACAUCCAAAGUGCGAUAACCCUUAAGAGAAGGGUAUCAACGCUAAUCCCAGGUCUGCAGCAACUCUUAGGAUUAGCUAUAUAGAGUUAUACAUGUUGUCCACAAUACAUAUACAAAAUACGUAUUUCAUACUUAGUUGAACCUAGCUAAUGGGAGAGGAGAGCGCCGUGGCAGUGGUGGCGUUGCCGCCAAGAAGUUCCUGCCGUGAAAAUCCACCAUUAGCAUGCCACCGUACGCUUUAGCCGCCUCAAAGCAGUCCAUGGGCUUCUGGGGAGGUGCUUGAGGAAUCAGGGGUUGCCUAGCCUUCUUCUUGGCGAUGCCCUCUUCUAACAUGGCGAAGGCUUCCUCUGCAAUUUUGGCAAGUUCGCGUGAAUGAGCCAUGAUAAGUGCUUGCUGCUCUGAUACCUCGUGCUAUCUAUGAGGCUGUGUUCUUUGUGCUGCUUCUGUGUGGUGAAGAACGAAACCCCCCUGGCCCUUUUUAUACCUCCAACUUCUCUGGAAAUAAGGCAAUAAUUCAAAAAGG
rnacentral:lncRNA from 1 species